rnacentral:rRNA from 1 species
UACGUAGGUGGCAAGCGUUGUCCGGAUUUAUUGGGUUUAAAGGGUGCGUAGGCGGUCUUUUUAAGUCAGUGCUGAAAUACUCCAGCUUAACUGGAGGGGUGGCAUUGAUACUGGAAGACUUGAGUGCAGUCGAAGUAGGCGGAAUUGACGGUGUAGCGGUGAAAUGCUUAGAUAUCGUCAAGAACACCGAUAGUGAAGACAGCUUACUAGGCUGCAACUGACGCUGAGGCACGAAAGUGUGGGGAUCAAACAGG